GCGGGUGUAGCUCAAUGGCUAGAGUCCCAGUCUUCCAAACUGGUUAUGCGAGUUCGAUUCUCGUCACCCGCU
rfam:Candidatus Microthrix parvicella RN1 genomic scaffold, 2605